GCCCACUUUGCUCAGUCGGUAGAGCUUGAGAUUCUUAAUCUCAGGGUCGUGGGUUUGAGUCCCACAAUGGGCA